GAGUUUGAUCUUGGCUCAGGACGAACGCUGGCGGCGUGCUUAACACAUGCAAGUCGAACGGUAAGGCUCCAGCUUGCUGGGGUACACGAGUGGCGAACGGGUGAGUAACACGUGGGUGACCUGCCCUGCACUUCGGGAUAAGCCUGGGAAACUGGGUCUAAUACCGGAUAGGACCGCACCGUGAGGGUGUGGUGGAAAGUUUUUCGUGUGGAUGGCCGGCGGCCUAUCAGCUUGUUGGUGGGGUAAGUGGCCUACCAAGGCGGCGACGGGUAGCCGGCCUGAGAGGGUGGACGGCCACAUUGGGACUGAGACACGGCCCAGACUCCUACGGGAGGCAGCAGUGGGGAAUAUUGCACAAUGGGCGGAAGCCUGAUGCAGCGACGCCGCGUGGGGGAUGACGGCC
rnacentral:rRNA from 1 species